GAGUAUGAGUGUGAUUAGGCUGUGAUAUCUGACAUCACAUAUAUAAUCUUGAUCAAUUCAGUUUAUUUGGCUGACUAAGAAAGGAUAUCCUUCCUCCCUUACCACCCUAUGCAUGGUCCUCCUGAAGCUACACACUCAGUAUUCUUUUCUAUGGAAGAGGACUAGCCUUUGGCCGAAUGCACACAGGUACUUGAACUGUCCUGGUAGUAUCUCCUAGCAAGCUCAAGAUAAGAGUUAAGUAGCAGGGGGAAGGUUUUACAAAGUCUGCACUGUGCUUCGCUUUAAAGUCAAGUGGUUUACAG
rfam:Rattus norvegicus chromosome X, whole genome shotgun sequence.